AUUGAACGCUGGCGGCAGGCCUAACACAUGCAAGUCGAACGGUAACAGGAAGCUGCUUGCUGCUUCGCUGACGGGAGGCGGACGUGACAGUAAUGUCUGGGAAGCUUCCCGAUGGAGGGGGAUAACGACUGGAAACGGUAGCUAAUACCGCAGAAUAUCCCACGACCAAGGAGGUGGACCUUCUGGUCUCUUGUCAUCGGAUGUGCCCAGAUGGGAUUAGCUUGUUGGUGGGGUAACCACUCACCAAGGCGACGAUCCCUAGCUGGUCUGAGAGGAUGACCAGCCACACUAGGACUGAGACACGGUCCAGAGUACUACGGGAGGCAGCAGAGGGGAAUAUUGGGCAGUAGGGGCGAGCCUGAUGCAGCCAUGGCGCGUGUAUGAAGAAGGCCUUCGGGUUGUAAAGUACUUUCAGCGGGGAGGAAGGGAGUACAGUUAAUACCUUUGCACAUUGACGUUACCCGCAGAAGAAGCACCGGCUAACUACGUG
rnacentral:rRNA from 1 species